rnacentral:rRNA from 1 species
UACGUAGGUGGCAAGCGUUGUCCGGAUUUAUUGGGCGUAAAGCGAGCGCAGGCGGUUUCUUAAGUCUGAUGUGAAAGCCUUCGGCUCAACCGAAGAAGUGCAUCGGAAACUGGGAAACUUGAGUGCAGAAGAGGACAGUGGAACUCCAUGUGUAGCGGUGAAAUGCGUAGAUAUAUGGAAGAACACCAGUGGCGAAGGCGGCUGUCUGGUCUGUAACUGACGCUGAGGCUCGAAAGCAUGGGUAG